ACCUGACUGGCUCAGUUGGUGGAGUAUGUGACUCUUGAUCUCCAGGUUGUGAGUUUGAGCCCCAUGUCGGGUA
rnacentral:tRNA from 1 species